AUGGUAAACGCCUUCUUCGCGACCCUGGCGCGGGGGCUGGACGACCUCAGCGGCGCGGGCGGGCUGUCCUCGCUGCCGGCGCUGCUCCGGGCGGCGGCGCUGCUCAGGGGCCUGCACUCGCAGCUCAUGGUGCUCGUCGGCCAGCUCCACCUGCCGCCCGGCGGCCGGUGGCUGGACGAGUACAUGGACGAGACCGCGCGCCUCUGGGACGCCUGCCUCGCCGUCAAGCUCGGCCUCGCCGCCGUCGAGCGCUACUGCGCCGCCGCGUCCUGCGCCGCCGCCGCCCUCGACGACUGGCUCCAGGACCCUUCCCCCCUCUCCACUCGCCAGGUGAUGAGGGCGAUCUCGGCGUCGAGGAGGGAGGCCAUGGCGGCGGAGGAGGAGAACCGGGCGCUGUCCGAGUCGAGGAUCGCGCCGCUGUCCCUGCAGCUGGACGAGCGGCGCGCGGCCGACGCCAGGCUCAGCGGCUUCAACGGCUUCCGCGGGCUGCUCUACGCGCUGCACAACGCCAGCUCCCUCCUCCUGCUCAUCCUGGCCGGCGGCGCCGUCGCCGGGUCCCCGCGCUCGUCCUCCGACGGCGCGGACAGCAGCCGCAGCGACGACGGGUUCAUGUCCUCCAUCGCGACGCUGCAGAAGCGGAUGGCGGAGGAGGCCGCGGGCGACGACGGCGACGGCGCGCCGGGGAUGAUCAGGAUGCAGGAGCUGCGGCGCGCGCGCGCGGCGGCGGAGGCGGCGCGGGAGGAGGUGGAGCGCGCGGCAGCUGCCGGGGGCAAGUGCGGCGGCGCCGUGAAGGACAAGGCCGGGGAGCUGAAGGCGUGGCUGGAGGUGCUCCGCGCCGGCACGGACGGGCUGGCGUGCCAGCUAGACGACUUCCUGGACGACAUUGUGGAGGGCCGCAAGGAGCUCUCCGACCUCUGCAGCCACUGA
rnacentral:rRNA from 1 species